rnacentral:rRNA from 1 species
UCAGGCCUAACACAUGCAAGUCGAACGGAUCACUUCGGUGGUUAGUGGCGAACGGGUGAGUAAUGCCUAGGAAUCUGCCUAUUAGCGGGGGAUAACGUUCCGAAAGGAACGCUAAUACCGCAUACGCCCUACGGGGGAAAGCAGGGGAUCUUCGGACCUUGCACUAAUAGAUGAGCCUAGGUCAGAUUAGCUAGUUGGUGGGGUAAAGGCUCACCAAGGCGACGAUCUGUAGCGGGUCUGAGAGGAUGAUCCGCCACACUGGAACUGAGACACGGUCCAGACUCCUACGGGAGGCAGCAGUGGGGAAUAUUGGACAAUGGGCGCAAGCCUGAUCCAGAAGGGCCGCGUGUGUGAAGAAGGCCUUUUGGUGUAAUCUAAAGGAGCGAGGAGGAGGGCACUUAGGUUAAUACCCUGAUGUGUGGA